AUAUAUAUACCAACAACGCCCAACGAUUAGCCUUCUCAUUCUUUACACUAUCAUUCAUUCGCUUGUUUUCUUGGACGUCAUGUAGCUUUGGCACUGCGGCAGAUCUCAAUCAGGUGUGCUGGCUUGAAGCAACAGGAACACUGGAGCUGGCGAAACCCCAAACCUAUGAGAUAAUCUACCACAUCAAGUUCAAGGAUGAUGCUUUCGGGUGGAACGGAGUCCCUGUCACCUUCCGCCUUGUCACCCCGGAAGGGCAGAGGAAGGAGAUAUCCCGAGUGAUGGAGUCGGACAGCAAAAGAAGAAGCAAAGGGUGGCGUGAGAUCCAUGGUGGGGAGUUCAGCUUAUCGACACAGACUGGUGGGAAGGUUGAGUUCGGCAUGUAUGAGAUCGAGAGCCAGAAGUGGCAGGGUGGCAUGCUUCUUGCGGGAGUCACCGUCAGGCCCAAACCUUCUGCUACCCCUGCUUAGAUCACUUGCGUGUUAGGAUCCACCAAACCUGGAGCCGUGUUAUAUCUGAAUAAAU
rnacentral:lncRNA from 1 species